CCACGGACGCAGCAGUGAGGAAUAUUGGUCAAUGGGCGGUAGCCUGAACCGGCCAAGUAGCGUGAAGGAUGAAGGUUCUAUGGAUUGUAAACUUCUUUUAUAAAGGAAUAAAGUGAGUCACGUGUGCCUUUUUGUAUGUACUUUAUGAAUAAGGAUCGGCUAACUCCGUGCCAGCAGCCGCGGUAAUACGGAGGAUCCGAGCGUUAUCCGGAUUUAUUGGGUUUAAAGGGAGCGUAGAUGGGUUGUUAAGUCAGUUGUGAAAGUUUGCGGCUCAACCGUAAAAUUGCAAUUGAUACUGGCGUCCU
rnacentral:rRNA from 1 species